rnacentral:rRNA from 1 species
UUUGUUCUGCUCAGGAUGAACGCUGGCGGCGUGCCUAAUACAUGCAAGUCGAGCGAACAGAUAAGGAGCUUGCUCCUUUGACGUUAGCGGCGGACGGGUGAGUAACACGUGGAUAACCUACCUAUAAGACUGGGAUAACUUCGGGAAACCGGAGCUAAUACCGGAUAACAUAUUGAACCGCAUGGUUCAAUAGUGAAAGGCGGCUUUGCUGUCACUUAUAGAUGGAUCCGCGCCGUAUUAGCUAGUUGGUAAGGUAACGGCUUACCAAGGCAACGAUACGUAGCCGACCUGAGAGGGUGAUCGGCCACACUGGAACUGAGACACGGUCCAGACUCCUACGGGAGGCAGCAGUAGGGAAUCUUCCGCAAUGGGCGAAAGCCUGACGGAGCAACGCCGCGUGAGUGAUGAAGGUCUUCGGAUCGUAAAACUCUGUUAUCAGGGAAGAACAAAUGUGUAAGUAACUGUGCACAUCUUGACGGUACCUGAUCAGAAAGCCACGGCUAACUACGUGCCAGCAGCCGCGGUAAUACGUAGGUGGCAAGCGUUAUCCGGAAUUAUUGGGCGUAAAGCGCGCGUAGGCGGUUUUUUAAGUCUGAUGUGAAAGCCCACGGCUCAACCGUGGAGGGUCAUUGGAAACUGGAAAACUUGAGUGCAGAAGAGGAAAGUGGAAUUCCAUGUGUAGCGGUGAAAUGCGCAGAGAUAUGGAGGAACACCAGUGGCGAAGGCGACUUUCUGGUCUGUAACUGACGCUGAUGUGCGAAAGCGUGGGGAUCAAACAGGAUUAGAUACCCUGGUAGUCCACGCCGUAAACGAUGAGUGCUAAGUGUUAGGGGGUUUCCGCCCCUUAGUGCUGCAGCUAACGCAUAAGCACUCCGCUUGGAGACGCGACUUGG